rnacentral:rRNA from 1 species
CAAAGGAGCAAUCCGCUGAAAGAUGGGCUCGCGUCCGAUUAGGUAGUUGGCGGGGCAACGGCCCACCAAGCCGACGAUCGGUAGCCGGACUGAGAGGUUGAACGGCCACAUUGGGACUGAGACACGGCCCAGACUCCUACGGGAGGCAGCAGUGAGGGAUAUUGGUCAAUGGGGGAGACCCUGAACCAGCAACGCCGCGUGAGGGAAGACGGUUUUCGGAUUGUAAACCUCUGUCCUCUGUGAAGAUGAUGACGGUAGCAGAGGAGGAAGCUCCGGCUAACUACGUGCCAGCAGCCGCGGUAAUACGUAGGGAGCAAGCGUCGUCCGGAUUUACUGGGUGUAAAGGGUGCGUAGGCGGCUUUGCAAGUCAGAAGUGAAAUCCAUGGGCUUAACCCAUGAACUGCUUUUGAAACUGCAGAGCUUGAGUGGAGUAGAGGUAGGCGGAAUUCCCGGUGUAGCGGUGAAAUGCGUAGAGAUCGGGAGGAACACCAGUGGCGAAGGCGGCCUGCUGGGCUCUAACUGACGCUGAGGCACGAAAGCGUGGGUAGCAAACAGGAUUAGAUACCCUGGUAGUCCACGCUGUAAACGAUGAUUACUAGGUGUGGGUGGACUGACCCCAUCC